UACGUAGGGCGCGAGCGUUGUCCGGAAUUAUUGGGCGUAAAGAGCUCGUAGGCGGCUUGUCGCGUCGGAUGUGAAAGCCCGGGGCUUAACUCCGGGUCUGCAUUCGAUACGGGCAGGCUAGAGUUCGGUAGGGGAGAUCGGAAUUCCUGGUGUAGCGGUGAAAUGCGCAGAUACCAGGAGGAACACCGGUGGCGAAGGCGGAUCUCUGGGCCGAUACUGACGCUGAGGAGCGAAAGCGUGGGGAGCGAACAGG
rnacentral:rRNA from 1 species